GUGAGGAGGAAAUUCCUUGGUUUAAUUGCAUCGUGUUUGAAAUCCCCUAGUUCCUCAAUAAGAGAACUCUCUCUCGGUCUGAAUUUGUAAAUGAAAAUAAACUUUUUCUGCUUACGUGGCUGAAAUUGGAUCGUUUUCCGCUGACGGGACCUCCAGACUUUACCGGGCUAACUGAGCAGCUCCACUGGAAGUACGUGACUAAUGUGCAGCUUAAUCAAGGCAAUCGUUUGAAAGGUCAUCUAAUGAGCGGGAGUGAAGAUCAUAUGUUAGCCUUUAUCCCUCUCCGUGGGACGUCGUGGUGAGCUGGGAACACCUGCUGUCUCCUGUCCAAACAUUAGCUCAUGUUAAUUACCCAGAGUGAUCUCCUGGUUUCAGCAGCUCAACUGUGGGCCAAGAUGUGCUGGUCCUCCCUGAGCCUGCCA